rnacentral:rRNA from 1 species
UAGGGAAUCUUCCGCAAUGGGCGAAAGCUUGACGGAGCAACGCCGCGUGAGUGAUGAAGGUCUUCGGAUCGUAAAACUCUGUUAUUAGGGAAGAACAAAUGUGUAAGUAACUAUGCACGUCUUGACGGUACCUAAUCAGAAAGCCACGGCUAACUACGUGCCAGCAGCCGCGGUAAUACGUAGGUGGCAAGCGUUAUCCGGAAUUAUUGGGCGUAAAGCGCGCGUAGGCGGUUUUUUAAGUCUGAUGUGAAAGCCCACGGCUCAACCGUCGAGGGUCAUUGGAAACCGGAAAACUUGAGUGCAGAAGAGGGAAGUGGAAUUCCAUGUGGAGCGGUGAAAUGCGCAGAGAUAUGGAGGAACACCAGUGGCGAAGGCGACUUUCUGGUCUGUAACUGACGCUGAUGUGCGAAAGCGUGGGGAUCAAACAGG